rnacentral:rRNA from 1 species
ACGCCUACGGGAGGCAGCAGUGGGGAAUAUUGGGCAAUGGGCGCAAGCCUUACCCAGCAAUACCGCGUGAGUGAAGAAGGUCUUCGGAUUGUAAAGCUCUUUGAUCAGGGACGAACAGAUGACGGUACCUGAAGAACAAGCCACGGCUAACUACGUGCCAGCAGCCGCGGUAAUACGUAGGUGGCAAGCGUUGUCCGGAUUUACUGGGUGUAAAGGGCGUGCAGCCGGGAAGACAAGUCAGAUGUGAAAUCCCGCGGCUCAACCGCGGAACUGCAUUUGAAACUGUUUUUCUUGAGUACCGGAGG